GUCUACAGCCAUGCCACCCUGAACAAGCCCAAUCACCCUGAACAAGCCCAAUCUCGUUUGAUCUCAGAAGCUAAGCAAAGUCGGGCCAGGUUAGUACUUGGAUGGGAGACCACCAAGUGCUGUAGGCG
rnacentral:rRNA from 1 species